AACGAACGCUGGCGGCAGGCCUAACACAUGCAAGUCGAGCGGACCCUUCGGGGUUAGCGGCGGACGGGUGAGUAACGCGUGGGAAUAUGCCCUUCUCUACGGAAUAGUCCUGGGAAACUGGGGGUAAUACCGUAUACGCCCUUUGGGGGAAAGAUUUAUCGGGGAAGGAUUAGCCCGCGUUGGAUUAGGUAGUUGGUGGGGUAAUGGCCUACCAAGCCGACGAUCCAUAGCUGGUUUGAGAGGAUGAUCAGCCACACUGGGACUGAGACACGGCCCAGACUCCUACGGGAGGCAGCAGUGGGGAAUCUUAGACAAUGGGGGCAACCAUGAUAUAGCCAUGCCGCGUGAGUGAUGAAGGCCUUAGGGUUGUAAAGCUCUUUCAGCUGGGAAGAUAAUGACGGUACCAGCAGAAGAAGCCCCGGCUAACUCCGUG
rnacentral:rRNA from 1 species